rnacentral:lncRNA from 10 species
UGCCUUGCGCAACGGCCUCCCAGGCCGCGGGGCCGAGCGGCCGGCGCCGGGCGACUGCGCCCGCGAGUGGGACCGCGGCCUGGACCCCGGGGACGAGCCCGACGUCUCCCUUCAGGAGCGCUCCUCGCUCUGUCUCUCGGACUUCCUCCCUCCCUCGCCCUCCCCGGCCGCCCUCCUCGCUCCCUCCCUCCCUCCCUCCCCCCCCACCCCGCCCUGCCCCCUCCUCGCUCCGCGCCGCCGCGCUCACUCCUCCCCCUCCCGACCUGGCGGCCGCCUCCCUCUCUUAUCUCGCUCCCCGCUCUCCAGGGUCUCCUCGCUCUUCAUUCCUCUCGCGGCCUCCUCCCCUUUCCCUCACUCACCCUCUUUCCAAUUGAGGGAUCACAGACUCACUCCGGUUCUGCCAGGGGGACGACCCCCACCCCUCGCAAAACUCGACCACCUCUGACUUCAUGAAAUAUUCUUUCUGUUUGCCCCCCGCAGCAAGCCCCGCGUCCCAUCCCAGGACCCAGCCCCGCCCCUCCGCGCCCCCUUCCUCCUCCUGGCCCGCCGGGCCGAGUGGUGCUGCUGCGGGUGCGGCUGCUCGGAGCCUCCCUGGCCGCCCUCCCCAGGGCCGAUACUGACUCCAUCUGUCAACUUCGUUUAGACUUUGCCGCCCUCAGCCACACGCCGGGGUGCCAGACGCCCAAAGGGUGCUCAUCCAGGCCUUAAAAGUUGGCAGCAUCCCCCAGGAACUACCCUGUGAACAAAUCCAGGCUUUCGGAAGCACGUGAUUCUGCAGAAAUGCCACAUUCUCUUCCACAUGGGCUGUGGGCUCUGAGUCCCCCUUUGCUUCCUCGGCCUAUGUACCUGCUGAAGAAGACAGUUGUGUCGUGUACAUGCAACCUAAGGAGGUAACCUUUUACCCAGCCUGAGACUUCAGAGGGUAUUCAUAUUGGGGACCAGCAGCCCGUGAUGUUUGUCCCCCAGAGAGGGGGAGAGAGCUGCUGCCUGCAGAGUGGCUGCUCCUGCUUUGCACGGCCCCUGGCUUCUGCAUCCCUCCAUCCUCCAGCUGGGCACAGAGGUUGCCAAAAGGGCCAGUAGGAGGAGAAGGCUUCAUGGAGGACGGGGGCAAGAGCGGGCCGACCAUGCUGGCUUCCUCGCCUUGUGUCUGGCUGACUGCACAGGCCUGAGGAGGCUGUGUGUAAGUUGGCAAAUGACAGGAAGAGCAUGUGCUUCUAAUCACCCACCCAUCUUAAUAACGUCGAACAGAUACAGUGCAGAAACUAUUGCACAACCACCAGCAUUUCAUUACAUCAGAAUCCUUGCCAAUUUGAAAGAGGUCCUUGAAUCCAGGGAGAGUUACAUCUUUACGUUUUUGAUCACGAUCCUCUUGGAAGAUACUUAUUAGGGCCAUUUGUUGAUGACAAUAUUAAGAAUUAGCAAAUAUCUUCUUAAAUAUAACAAAAAUUGAAUUGUUUCAUUAGAGAACUAUAAAGUCUGUUAUUUAAGAGGAAACUGUUGUGCUGUUCAAAAGCAGGAAAGAAUUGUUGAAGGACUCUUCCUGGUCUCCUUUCUAGAACUGAGGCAACUCAGCUAUUGUAGUCAAAAGAAUUUUUAAAAAAUUAGUAAAGAGAAAAGCAGAAUCUUCGUACA